rnacentral:rRNA from 1 species
GACGAACGCUGGCGGCGUGCCUAAUACAUGCAAGUUGAGCGCUGAAGGUUGGUACUUGUACCAACUGGAUGAGCAGCGAACGGGUGAGUAACGCGUGGGGAAUCUGCCUUUGAGCGGGGGACAACAUUUGGAAACGAAUGCUAAUACCGCAUAAAAACUUUAAACACAAGUUUUAAGUUUGAAAGAUGCAAUUGCAUCACUCAAAGAUGAUCCCGCGUUGUAUUAGCUAGUUGGUGAGGUAAAGGCUCACCAAGGCGAUGAUACAUAGCCGACCUGAGAGGGUGAUCGGCCACAGUGGGACUGAGACACGGCCCAAACUCCUACGGGAGGCAGCAGUAGGGAAUCUUCGGCAAUGGACGAAAGUCUGACCGAGCAACGCCGCGUGAGUGAAGAAGGUUUUCGGAUCGUAAAACUCUGUUGGUAGAGAAGAGCGUUGGUGAGAGUGGAAAGCUCAUCAAGUGACGGUAACUACCCAGAAAGGGACGGCUAACUACGUG